GCCAUGGAAACAGACUGGCUGCAGCGAGUUGGAUGCGUGUACAACAUCUGCUGCCAGACCCCAUAAUCAGCUGCCAUCUCAUCUCGUCCCCUCUACUCCACUUUUAUUUGAUUAAGAACCAUAAAACAAGGAUACAAGGCAUAAAGGAGAACUAGGAGCUACAUGUGCUGUGAACACAAACCAGCAAGAAACGUCACACAGUCAAUGCUGUCAGGAAAAGUGCCUCAUAGGAAGUGAUACUUAAGCCAAGGUCUACAGGAAGAAUAAAAGUUAAUGAACUGAAGGCAAGAAAAAUCAAUAAGCAUUAAAACAACUCCUUGCAUAGACAGCUGCUCAUUUCCUCAUUCC